AUUAUUUUUAGAGGCGGUGUCCAAUGGUUACAGUCGCUCCUUCCCGCGCGCACGGCUGCCGACGUCAUCGCCCUCGUCAGCUGAGAGGAGAAAACCUGCAGCGAAGCUAGCGUGAGGACUGCGGUCGGAUUAUUAGCUCUGUGGGGUCCUCUUUAUGCUCUGCUGCUCCUGGAACUCCCGAGAGUCUUCCCAAGGCCGCGGGCCACGAAUAUUCCUCCACUCGUCUAAAUUGUCAUCCUUCAACUUCUGCUCAAAACAAGAUGGCGGACACAGAAGAGGAGAAGAAGCAAACAUUUCAUUUGAAGCCAGCGAAGCUUCGGCAGUUUCAAACGUGUCCCCGCUAUUGCAAUCAAAUCCAUAUUUUUCCUUCCAUCUGAUCCCCUCACCUCAUACUCUUGCUCCAAAAUGACCGACUGCUUUUGCGGGUUUAGUUUGGCCUCCAGUGAGGGAUCCAACUGAAACCACAAGAUGGUUACAAUAAUAUUAAAUAGACUGUGUCCGUUUUUUGAUGGACUACUACGCCAUUGCAUUUGAAUGUUGGUCAUAAUGAGAGUAAAAUGAACCAAUGGCUACAUUAGUUGGUUUUAAAUAAAAACGUGACAUUUACUGGGCUUUUUGAAAGCAUGAGAAAGACAUAACAGUGAAAAAGUGGCGUACCUUCCUCUUGAGCUUCUGGGCGUCGUAGCGGAUCUGCGUGAACUCCCGCAGGCCGAAGGAACCGCCGACCACCAACAGCUGAAACCACACAUUUGUUUUUCUAAUUUCUGACCACCAAGAUGCGAAUACAUAUGUAAGCGCAUACUUACGAGCAUAGGAACUCCAUAUCGCACAGUCUUAUUCGUCUGCAGUGUUUUUAAGCUAAACAUGGCUCCUUUUCUGACUUUUUACGUUGCUUAACUUUCAUAUUCGUGAAGAACAUACAGGUUAAAUAGCCGGUGUGCACUUCCGGGUUUGGUUCGACGUACUAAAACGUCCGGUGUGCUACAAACGUUCACGUAGGAACCUUCAAACUAUUUAACUAUUAAAAUGUUUUCGUAUCAAAAUAUUAUUAAUAAAUAGUGCCUAAUUACUUAGAAUUUAUAUGAUUCCAAUUAAAUACGAUAAAUGUCUGUUUUGGUUAAAUCCAGCAAGCAGAUGGUUUUGAACUUUGUACAUAAAAUACAACUGUUGACCACAACAUAUACUCAAAUUAUAUAUGUAUAUUGUCCCUUAAAAUGCUUAAUAUCUGCAUUAAUAGGCUGAUUUCAAAAUAAAGACAAAUAUAUCUAUCUAGAAACAGCAAUUUAUUCACAAAAUGGCAGUAGCAGACCACAAAAAAAUUGAUAUUUUGCUUUGCGAAUCAUGCCUUGUAGAACGUCUGCUUAAAGUUCUAUAUUUGGUGGCACUUUUUGUCUCAGAAAAUUAUUUUAACACAAAAAUGCCCCCAAAGAAAACACAAAAAAUCUGUACCUUUUGUGUUUGAUGACUGUAAUAAUAUAUUUUAUGUAAAUAGCUGAGAAUAAACAGACAACAUGAAAGCAAUUUUUCUUUAUUACAAUUUCCAUCUCUCACUCUUAACCAGGUGAAGAAAAAUACCUUUUUUUUUGUUCAGUAUUAUAAAAUAUGUUAACUUUAUAUCUUUAUGAACGAGGACAA